rnacentral:rRNA from 1 species
AGCGACAGAAGAAGCACCGGCUAACUCCGUGCCAGCAGCCGCGGUAAUACGGAGGGUGCGAGCGUUAAUCGGAAUUACUGGGCGUAAAGCGCAUGCAGGUGGUUUGGUUAAGUCAGAUGUGAAAGACCCGGGGCGUCAACCUCGGAAUAGCAUUUGAAACUAGGCAGACUAGAGUACUGUAGAGGGGGGUAGGAAGUUUCAGGUGUAGCGGUGAAAUGCGUAGAGAUCUGAAGGAAUACCGGUGGCGAAGGCGGCCCCCUCGGACAGAUACUGACACUCAGAUGCGAAAGCGUGGGGAGCAAACAGGAUUAGAUACCCUGGUAG